CGGGGGCGGGGCGGGCCCGCGCGCUGCUGCUCCGGCUCCGCGGCCGCUCCGCGCCUGUGGCGGCCCCGACCCGCCCGGCCCCGCCAUGUCCCCCGCCGCGCUGCUCCGGGCGCUGCCGCUGGCCGCGCUGCUGCUGCUCGGCCCGGCGCGGGCGGUCCGGCAGGCGCGGAGGCCCAACGUGGUGCUUAUCCUCACCGACGACCAGGACGUCUGCCUGGGCGGCAUGACCCCCCUAAAGAAGACCAACACUCUUAUUGCCCAGAUGGGAAUAACCUUCGAAAAUGCAUAUGUCCCCAGUGCACUUUGCUGUCCCAGUCGAGCUAGCAUUUUAACAGGAAAAUAUCCACAUAAUCACCACGUCGUCAAUAACACUCUGGAAGGGAACUGUAGCAGCAAGUUGUGGCAGAAGAUUCAAGAACCAUACACCUUCCCAGCACUGCUCAAAGCUAUGUGUGGUUAUCAGACAUUCUUUGCUGGAAAGUAUUUAAAUGAGUAUGGAGCAGAGGAUGCAGGAGGAGUAGGUCACGUCCCUCCUGGAUGGAGUUUUUGGUAUGCUUUGGAGAAAAAUUCAAAGUACUACAACUAUACUCUCUCAGUAAAUGGCAAAGCACGAAGGCAUGGCGAGAACUACAGUGUAGACUAUCUGACAGAUGUACUGGCCAACAUGUCAUUGGACUUCUUGGAGUACAAAUCUAAUUUUGAACCCUUCUUUAUGAUGAUCGCAACCCCAGCACCACAUUCCCCUUGGACACCUGCUCCGCAGUAUACAAAGAGCUUUCAGAAUGUCAGUGCACCAAGAAACAGCAAUUUUAAUAUUCAUGGCAAGAACAAGCACUGGUUAAUUCGACAAGCAAAGACUCCAAUGAGCAACUCUUCAAUACAGUUUCUUGAUGAUGCUUACAGAAAGCGGUGGCAAACUCUGCUGUCAGUAGAUGACUUGAUAGAGAAACUCGUGAAGAAAUUGGAAGUGAAUGGAGAGUUAGACAACACGUACAUCUUUUAUACAUCAGACAAUGGCUUCCACACUGGCCAGUUUUCUUUGCCAAUAGACAAACGGCAGCUCUAUGAGUUUGAUAUCAAAGUUCCAUUGCUAGUUCGAGGACCAGGGAUAAAACCAAAUCAGACAAACAAGAUGCUUGUUGCAAAUAUUGAUUUGGGUCCCACUAUUCUGGAUAUUGCGGGGUAUGACUUGAAUAAGACCCAGAUGGAUGGGAUGUCACUGUUGCCACUGUUGAGAGGAGACAAAAAUGUCACGUGGAGAUCAGACUUCUUGGUGGAGUACCAAGGAGAAGGAUACAAUGGCAGUGAUCCUACCUGUCCUGGCCUAGGACCUGGAGUCACACACUGCUUCCCAGACUGUGUCUGUGAAGAUGCUUAUAACAACACGUAUGCUUGUGUAAGGACACUGUCAGCUUCCUGGGAUCUGCAGUACUGUGAGUUUGAUGACCGGGAGGUGUUUGUGGAAGUGUAUAACUUGACUGCAGAUCCACACCAGAUAAAUAACAUUGCUAAAACAAUUGAUCAAGAAAUUCUAGAGAAGAUGAACUAUCGACUAAUGAUGCUGCAGUCCUGCUCAGGAGCAACGUGCCGUACACCAGGUGUCUUUGAUCCCGGGUACAGGUUUGACCCACGGCUCAUGUUCAGCAAUCACGGCCUGCGGGCUCGGAGGUUUUCUGCGCAGUUCUUGUAAGACCCUCGGGAGCCUCUUGCAACGGGCUCCUACCAACCCACCAGUUUCUCCAGUGACUGCAGCAGGUGACCUGCAUUUUCACUCAGCCUUGUUUACAUUCAAAAAUGAGUGCUGGCACUUGGCAACAGAAAAUACUCUGUGUAAGUUAUGCUGCCCUUCUGCACCAGUAUUACUAAAAGUUCCGCAAAGAACUAAAAGAACCACAAGUUCUGACUGUGAGUGCUCAUUUGACAAACCAGAGCAGAUAAAAAUACAGAAGUGUCUAACAUCUGCUCGCUCACAUCUAUGGAAAAAUGUUAGGAGCAAAGAGGGCAGAUUCUGAAAGUAUCAUCUGACAAGUCUAGAGUAAAAGAACUGUCUAGGAUUACUGGCAUACAGAAAGCACCUGUUUAUCUGAAGGGAGAGCUUCAGAGCCAGUGUUCCAAUACAACUUUGCCUGGGAAAAAACCAAGAGGCUGAACUUUGCUGUCAUAAUAUAUACUGGCAUUCUAAUUCCUCCUGAGACACACUGGAAACAGCUGAAAUUUCUGAUCACAUUCCAGAGUCUGUAUUUAAAGAGAAAAAUCUUAGACUUGUAAUGCUAUUUUCUCUCAUGCUACGUGCAAGGCCACAAUGCUAUAUUUAGAUUUACAGAGUUAGUGAAGGGAGUUUUGCACUCUAGUUCUCUCAUUGGUAUUUGUGGUAAAGACAGAACUACCUUAUCUGUAAUGUCCUGUCUUAUUCAUAUGGAAAAUGCACACAAGAAAGACAGCACCAGGUUAGUACUUUAUACAGCAUCAUAAAAAGUUAGAUUUGGCAAUUGCAGGAACAGUCCUUGGAUUUAAAAAAACCUUCAAAAUUCCAGCUGUGAACACUGGCCUUUCUGAAAGUUGUAGAGGCAGAGGCAGAGAACAGAAAGUGCAAUAAAAAGACAGUUUUUAAAAACCACCUUUGAGGAAAGCAGGAAGGAAACAGCUUGAGAAGCCAUUUGCUAGCGCUGGGUGCCUCAGUGCAGGGUGCUGGGCUGGGUCCUUUUCAGGCCUACGCUGCUGCAACUGAAAACACUUCUAAUUUCAGCUUGCACAAAGGCAAACAAGAACACUCUGGAAUUAACCUCCCACCUUGCUAGCACAUAGCACAGGAAGGUGCUUUUCAGACAAACAUGUCCUGGCCUUUGCAGCAUCUUCUUGAAAAAUACCACAAAAGGAGUGCCAGCAGCCAGGCUCAGUGUCUGAAGUGCUUGGCUCAAACUGCUCUGAACUGGGCGUUGCCUACUUGUCCAUACUGGCUACUGCAGCAAUCUCUUUUACACAUUCGCACAUCAAGAGGAAAAUAAUUCCUCCAGAACAGGCCAGUCCUCAGUUCACAGCACUAAACCUGUGCUCUAAACAGUAGAUCACAGUCUCCUCUUACCUGGCUUGAAUUUUCAACAGAGUCCCUGCUUCUUGACCGAGCAGAUGUAGCAGAUGCAUAACUUUACUCAUUUGGAAGUCAUCCACUUGCCUUCAUCAUCAAGAGUAAGAGACUCAGCCUUUCAGUUGUCCUGUAAGGAUGAUCUGCAGCUUUUCAUUCACUUGAUCCAACUAAGGCAAGAGGUCAAGUCUCAAAAUGGCACCAAAUUAAUUAUAAAGUAGAUGUAAAAAAAGGACAACGUCGGACUAGAAAGUUGAAGUAAUAGGACUUUAUUCCAGAGAUACUAGUAACAAGGUAUUAACUUAUUUUUUUAAACAAUUUGUUAAAAUUGGUACUUCCGACUAAAUUAAGGAUUCUGUGGAGCUUUCAGGCCCAAGCUAAAAGUAUAUAGACUUUUAUGAGUAUUUAUUUUCUGAAACAAAUACAAACACAAAAUUCCCAUAAUCCUUGACAGUUUUAUUCCUUAUCAUUAGUCUGAGGUAUACUAACAAAUCUCCCUCUGGGAAUGUAUGAAUACUGCACUACUCAGCAUUGUUUUGCUCAAAACUCACUUAUUAAAAAAAGUGUUCCUAUUUUGCAGUUUUAUAGGAGAAACUAUUUCUUCUGCAUAUGAACUUAAAUAGUGUAAUUUAUACGCUCCUGCAAGAGGAAAAGUGUAGGAAAAGUUUUGAAAGCACAGUUAUUUCCCGACUAACACAAGCAUGCCAUUGAACAUUAAAAUGAAGGAGGAAAACAUACCUGAAUGGUUCUAGAUGAAUGGGAGAUGGUAAAAAGUGAAUACUGACAAAACUUGCAAGGACUGCAGCUGGAAAUCCCCAUGCUGGGAACCUGGGAAGGAAGAGAAACCACUCUAAACUCGCACACAUACAGGAGGAGGGGAGGAAGGGAAUGGAGUCUGGUGGGGUUCGUUGCAAAUGUUCAAAAAUUUCAGCGCUAAAAAUUCAGCCUGCAGGAAGACAAAGCAGACUGACAAUGUGCUGAUCCCUGCCAUGGAGAGGAGUGGCCCAGCUGCUUCCACAGACGAUGCUACUGUCCUGCUCUGCCUCCGCACUGAACUCGUCAGUCUCCAGAUGGAUGAUUCUGCCCCUGAUCCAGCCAAAACACAUGAGAUUUCUUUUGCUGAGUUGUAUUUCUGGUAGUAGAUAACUCUGCCACAGGCAGAGCCCAGUGACUUGUGUGACUCCAGCAUCUUUAGGGCUUUUAUCCAUCCCACCCUGGCUGAGUGCUUAAGAGCUUGCCAUUUGCAGGCCUUACCAAGUGCACACACAGUCCUAAUGGGGUUGUUGCACACACCAAACCAUGAGGUCUCACAUAAACCAGCCUUCAAGGCACUGGCUGAGCCACUGCCAUCUCUGCUGCGGGGCCAGGGUGCCCAGGGAAGUGCCACAGAGACCAAAGCAAACAGCUCAGCAGCUCCCUUCUACCAAUUAAAUCAGGGAGGAACAAACCACUUCUAUGAAACACAGAGCAGUAACUGGAAAAUUAAACACGGAUACUACUGAAGAAAACCACUAAAAAGCCAUUAAAGAUAAAAAGGAGUAAAAAGCAGUUCCUGGGGAGAGAGGGCUGACGUAUCACCUCCAGUUUUCGUGUAUUGGCCUCGUUUCUGCAAGGUGUUUUUCAACAGAAAGGAAACCACUCGCCCAUGGGCUGUCCCACUCAGCACCACUGCGCUCCCCCUACGGAGGGGUCAGCCCCACGACCCCCAGCUCUGCUCCCUCCCUCUCUCCCAGGCAAACCUUACUUUAGGCUAACAGGCAGCUGUGUCUGCCCGCAGGACUCACUGCUGCUUUACACAGAAAUCCACUCUGCCUCAAAACGAUCACCACACAUCACCAGGGAAAGGAAAAGCCAAACACAUGUCAUGUGACCAAGUGUUGCCAACUUCAGCUUUAAUAAUGGAACCAUCACUUUUUUGCCAUUUCCAUAAUAACUUUAGGGGAAUAAAAACUUCCCUACAAAAAUAAAACUAAGCUUGUUAAAAUUAUAAAUAGUUUAAAUGUUUGUAUUUAAAGACAUACAUUUUAAUGUUUCCCUGCAUUCCCCCUCCCUCAUCAUUUAGUCAUUCUGGUACCAUCAUAUAAUGACAAGAAAACAGUUUUGCAACAAAAGCUUUGACAGUUCAAUUUGAUGCUAAAAUUAAAAAAAGAUAAAACUGACCAGGCAUGACCAUGUCUUUUAAAUUAAAGCUGCUGUAACUGCCAGUGUGUAGAACAAAAAAGAAGAAAAUUACCUCCACACAUGACAUCUUACAAUAAUUGACUGUGGACUAAGACAAAAUUAAAAUAAAAGUUUAUUUUGGUCCCCCACCCCCUUCCCCUUCACCCCAAAUCAAGACUUAUAGUGCAUACAACACUGAUUGAGGUUUUUGGCUAAAGCAAAUGAAGAUGUGCCUACUUAAAAAGACUGAUAGUUUAGUUCAAGUAAAACCAAAAUUCACAUAUUUUUAUACUCAACUUUAAAACUCAAACAGUGUUUAAAUCUGAGCAACAAAUGGUUCAAUAUUGACAGCGGUUAUGCAAUGAUUACAUAGCUAUGGGCAGACACAUAAAUUAAGAUGUUAACAGAAUACCCAACAACACGCUGCUGCAUUCCUAGAAAAACAAAUUGUAACAAAACACAAAAGCAUUCCCUGAACCAUUAUAAAGUGUCUCACUUGAGGAUAAUGUUACUAACUCACACAUGCACUACAAUGUUACAUGUGAAAUUAAAAAGAACAAACAAGAUAUGCCUUAGAUAUAUCUUAUAGUUAGUCCUACUCUUAAUUUCUCUUAACUCUUUAAAACAUUAUGAUUGUCUCAUAAGCUUACAAAUUCUUUUUACCUAAAAACCUUGUGAAGAGUUUUAAAAAGAAUCUUACGAGGGAAAGGAAACAAAGGCACAAUUACAUAAAAUUAAGGGGAAGAACAGAAGCAUCUUGGAGUUUCACACAGUAUCCAUUAGAUGUCACCAAAGUUUUAACAAUUCCUUGGGAAUUUAAAAUGAACACAUUAAGAACAGAGGGGAAAAAACCCCACCACAACUUCUGCUGCUCUUCAAUCCUUAGCACUCCUCCACCCUCCAGUACAUAACUAAUUUCCUCUCUGGCAUGAUAAUGACUACAGUAUCAGUCACUCAAAUCUGCCUCAUGCUUCCAUGCUUCUAUUGCACACCCACUUCUUUGGUUUCUUUUGAACAUGCUUUUUUUUUUUUUUUUUUUUUUUUAAGAUAAA